UACGUAGGGGGCUAGCAUUGUCCGGAAUUAUUGGGCGUAAAGCGCGCGCAGGCGGCCUUGUAAGUCUGUCGUUUAAACUCGGAGCUCAACUUCGAGUCGCGAUGGAAACUGCAAAGCUUGAGUGCAGAAGAGGAAAGUGGAAUUCCACGUGUAGCGGUGAAAUGCGUAGAUAAUCGUAAGGAAGACCAGUGGCGAAGGACGGGUCUCUGGACAGUUCCUGACGCUGAGGCACGAAGGUCAGGGGAGCAAACGGGAUUAGAGUACC
rnacentral:rRNA from 1 species